AGCAACAAUGGAUCUUUACCUGUGCAUUGGGAGUGACAAGGCUUGUUUCCUUCCCUGAGAAGUUGAAGAUGUUCAUUAUGUGAGAUGAGACAGCCAGAACCAAGUUUACUCUGGGAAGCCUCUACUCCAGACAAAGGAUGUAGUUUCGCCUAAUAAUACUGUUCUUGGAAAGAGGACUAGUUCUUUUUAUGGAACCUGAGCUUCUAUGGCUGACUUUGUCCCUUCAAGUGCGUGGCUGACUCUGGCUGAAAUAAGAGACUUCAGUCCAUAUUCAUCAUCGAGCAACUGCUCUUCUGAAACACUUCCUGAGAAUCAAUGUCCCCUGGAAACACAUGACUUCCUGUUGGUCAGGUUUGAUUUUGCAGGUUUCAGCCAUCACUCCCACAAGAAACCAAGAAGCACUCCCUCCAAACUUCACAGCCUGCAGUGUCUUUUGCCAUUAGAACGGGGAUUAACGUGGCUAUUCUGGAGUUUGCCAGUCCCAAAGGCGCCUACAGCACAACUCACAAGAAGAAAUAACUGCCCCAAACUAGAGGAAGAAAGUGUUAAAGGGAAACCCAUCUGCCUAACUCCGAACAGAGCUUCUCUUCCCAAACCAGCAGGAUGCGGCGGAAGUGACGACAUCUACCUAUGCCCCGGGACCUCAAGAGGCCACCCAACUUACGUUCUCGUGCUCCUGGGAGCCAGCCACCAAGUUGGAAGCUUGGGCUGGACUCCAGGGUGGUGAGAGAUCGCGGGGUAGGAGGGAGGCCUCAUGGAUGAGAGCUGAGCCACCCUGCAGCCACCACGUGAGUCCUGCAGCCCAGGGUCACAGGCUGUGGCUUUUAACCCCGAGUUCCGGUGGUUUGUCGCAAGGCAAUAGAUCAUUAAAGCAACAGUGACAGUAACCUGUUGAUGUGGAGUCAAAAGAGGUUGCCAUUCAUUCUCCCGGCGUCGUCAGCGGCCGUGGUGUCUGUUGUGAUAAACGCCUUGUGAGAGAUACUAUCACCAAGCUUCCAGCCCCGGAAGCUGGUUCACCUGAGCAACAGCCGACACUCAGGGGCUGCUUAGUCCAUGCCAGGUGCUGUCCUUAGUCCUUUACACCCAUGAACUCAUUCAGGCCUCACAACAACCUCCUGAGCCAGAUGUGCUGUUAUUAUCACCUCCAUUUUACCACUGGGAAAACUGAGGCUCGGAGAGGUUAAGGAACCUGUCUGCAGUCACACAGCUAGUAAGCGGCAUAUCGAGGAGUCAUCUGCAGGCCCGGCAGCACCAGGCUGGGCUUUUAGCCUCCAUGUGGCUCUCUGCCUAAGGCCAGAGUUCAGGAAGGAGCCCCGGCUGUGUCACUUAAAACGGUUAUAGUUCCGUUGGGGGAGGAUUCAGCUGAUGAAGACACAUUUGAGAACCCCCAGUGUAGACAGUCGCCAAAGGUCUGGGAUUCUGCAAUUUGAUUGGCUGCCCCUCCAGCACCAUGGCCUGUGCUCACCUGGCUGCUGGGCACGUGGCCUCCCUUCUCCAACCCGCUUCUCCCCAUCCAGUGUCCCUCUGGCCAUUUCUAAAAGCUGUGGGCCCCC
ensembl:lncRNA